UCCUACGGGAGGCAGCAGUGGGGAAUAUUGCACAAUGGGGGGAACCCUGAUGCAGCGACGCCGCGUGGGUGAAGGAGCACCUCGGUGCGUAAAGCCCUAUCGGCAGGGAAGAAACAGACGGUACCUGACUAAGAAGCCCCGGCUAACUACGUGCCAGCAGCCGCGGGAAUACGUAGGGGGCAAGCGUUAUCCGGAUUUACUGGGGGUAAAGGGGGCGCAGACGGCGAUGCAAGCCAGGAGUGAAAGCCCGGGGCCCAACCCCGGGACGGCUCCUGGAACUGCG
rnacentral:rRNA from 1 species